rnacentral:misc_RNA from 1 species
GCCGGCAAAGCCAUGCAAAAGUUUGUGGGUAGCAGGGAUUAGUAAGUCUGUGUCAAAAGAAGAAUUGGAAGAUCAAUUCAAGGGAUUUGGUACAAUUCAAGAAUAUAAGUUCAUCAGGGAUCGCAACACCGCAUACAUUGAUUUUGCUAGACUGGAAGACGCAGCAGAAGCACUGAAGAACAUGAAUGGAAAAAAAUUUGGUGGCGAACAGAUUCGUGUGGAUUAUCUCAGGUCACAACCUACGAGAAGAGAGCAAGGACCGGAGUAUCGGGAAAUGAGGGAUGGACAGUAUCACAAUAGGAACGUUGGCCAUCCUGACAGUCGGCUUAUGCCUCAAGAUUUUGCCAGGAACUACUCUGAUCCUAUGCAUGCUGGCUUCAGAAGGCAACAUCCAUUUCAGUUGCCAGUGGGACAAGGACAUGGACAACCUAGUAAAAUCUUGUCUAUAGGUUAUCCUCCUUCUGUCCAUGUCGACGAGGAUAUGCUACACAAUGCUAUGAUUUU